rnacentral:tRNA from 2 species
CGGGCGGUGGCUUAGCCCGGCAAAGCGCCUGCUUUGGGAGCAGGAGACCGGCGGUUCGAAUCCGCCCCGCCCGACCA